AUACCGCGUGUGUGAAGAAGGCCUUCGGGUUGUAAAGCACUUUAAGCAGGGAGAAAAAGUUAUAAGUUAAUACCUUAUAACCCUGAUGUUACCUGCAGAAUAAGCACCGGCUAAUUCCGUGCCAGCAGCCGCGGUAAUACGGAAGGUGCAAGCGUUAAUMGGRAUUACUGGGCGUAAAGCGCGCGUAGGUGGUUUGUUAAGUUGGAUGUGAAAGGCCCUGGGCUCAACCUANGGAACUGCAUCCAAAAUCUAAUCUCANCUAGAGUACGAUACGAGGGAGGUAGAAUUCAUAUGUGUAGCGGUGGAAUGCGUAGAUAUUAUGAAGAAUACCAGUGGCGAAGGCGGCCUCCUGGAUCUGUACUGACACUGAGGUGCGAAAGCGUGGGUAGCGAACAGGAUUAGAUACCCUGGUAGUCCACGCCGUAAACGAUGACAACUAGCUGUUGGGAGACUAUGUCUUUCAGUGGCGCAGCUAACGCUUUAAGUUGUCCGCCUGGGGAGUACGGCCGCAAGGCUAAAACUCAAAUGAAUUGACGGGGACCCGCACAAGCGGUGGAGCAUGUGGUUUAAUUCGAUGCAACGCGAAAAACCUUACCUACUCUUGACAUACUUGGAGGCCCUUGUAAUGAGAGCGUGCCUUCUGGAACCAAGAUACAGGUGCUGCAUGGCUGUCGUCAGCUCGUGUCGUGAGAUGUUCCGUUAAGUCGGAUAACGAGCGCAACCCUUACCCUUAUUUGCCAGCGAUUCGGUCGGGAACUAUAAGGGGACUGCCGGUGAUAAACCGGAGGAAGGUGAGGACGACGUCAAGUCAUCAUGGCCCUUACGAGUAGGGCUACACACGUGCUACAAUGGAGAAUACAGACGGACGCUAAGCCGCGAGGUGGUGCUAAUCCUAGAAAGUUCUUCGUAGUCCGGAUUGGAGUCUGCAACUCGACUCCAUGAAGUCGGAAUCGCUAGUAAUCGCGGAUCAGCAUGCCGCGGUGAAUACGUUCUCGGGUCUUGUACACACCGCCCGUCACACCAUGGUAGUGGAUUGCACCAGAAGUAGAUAGUCUAACCUUAGGGAGGGCGUUUACCACGGUGUGCUUCAUGACUGGGGUGAAGUCGUAACAAGGUAGCCGUAGGGGAACCUGUGGCUGGAUCACCUCCUUUCUA
rnacentral:rRNA from 1 species